rnacentral:rRNA from 1 species
AUGGGGCUGCGGCGGAUUAGUUUGUUAGCAGGGUAAUGACCUACUAAGGCGAUAAUCCGUACGGGUCGUGAGAGCGAUAGCCCGGAGAUGCACUCUGAGACAUUAGUGCAGGCCCUACGGGGCGCAGCAGGCGCGAAACCUUCACAAUGCGUGCAAGCGUGAUGGGGGGAGCUUGAGUGAAUCCGCAUUGCGGAUUCUUUUCUCGAGUCUAGAUCGCUCGGGGAAUAAGUGGUGGGCAAGACGGUUGCCAGCCGCCACGGUAAUAACCGCGCCACAAGUGGUAGUCACGUUUAUUGGGCCUAAAGCAUCCGUAGCCGGUUUUGUACGUCUUUGGUGAAAUCUAUGGGAUAACUCGUAGAAUUGCUGAAGAAACGGCAAAACUUGGGACCGGGAGAGGUCGAGGGUACGUCAUGGGUAAGGGUAAAAUCUUUUAAUCCAUGACGGACCACCGGUGGCGAAGGCGCUCGACUGGAACGGGUCCGACGGUCAGGGAUGAAAGCUAGGGGAGCAAACAGGAUUAGAUACCCUGGUAGUCCUAGCUGUAAACGAUGCCCACUUGGUGUCGCAGAUUCUACGUGAAUUUGCGGUGCCGGAGCGAAGGCGUUAAGUGGGCCGCCUGGGGAGUACGGUCGCAAGACUGAAAACUUAAGGGAAUUGGCGGGGGAGCACACCAGGGGUGGAGGCUGCGGUUUAAUUGGAUUCAACGCCGGGAACCUUACCAGAGAAGACAGCAGAAUGAGGGUCAGCCUGAAGGGCUUACCAGACAAGCUGAGAAGUGCUGCAUGGCCGUCGUCAGUUCGUGCUGUGAAGUGUCGUGUUAAGUCACGAAACGAACAAGACCUGUGCCGUUAGUUGCAAACAUCCUGUCCGCAGGAUGUGCACUCUAGCGGGACCGCUGGCGCAAAGUCAGAGGAAGGAGCAGGCGACGGCAGGUCAGUAUGGCCUGGAUUCUCUUGGGAUACACGCGGCCUACAAUGCGUAGGACAAUGGGAUGCAACACCGUAAGGUGAAGCCAAUCUCCUAAACCUACGCUUAGUUCAGAUCGAGGGCUGCAACUCGCCCUCGUGAAGCCGGAAUCCCUAGUAAGCGAAGGUCA